rnacentral:rRNA from 1 species
AGUGAACGCUGGCGGUAGGCCUAACACAUGCAAGUCGAACGGCAGCACAGUAAGCGCUUGCUCUUACGGGUGGCGAGUGGCGGACGGGUGAGGAAUACAUCGCAAUCUACUUUUUCGUGGGGGAUAACGUAGGGAAACUUACGCUAAUACCGCAUACGACCUACGGGUGAAAGCAGGGGAUCUUCGGACCUUUCGCGAUUGAAUGAGCCGAUGUCGGAUUAGCUAGUUGGCAGGGUAAAGGCCCACCAAGGCGACGAUACGUAGCUGGUCUGAGAGGAUGAUCAGCCACACUGGAACUGAGACACGGUCCAGACUCCUACGGGAGGCAGCAGUGGGGAAUAUUGGACAAUGGGCGAAAGCCUGAUCCAGCAAUGCCGCGUGGGUGAAGAAGGCCUUCGGGUUGUAAAGCCCUUUUGUUGGGAAAGAAAAGCAGCAGGUUAAUACCCCGCUGUUCUGACGGUACCCAAAGAAUAAGCACCGGCUAACUUCGUG